rnacentral:tRNA from 1 species
UGGCUCAGUUGGUAGAGCAUGGUCCUUGCAAUGCCAAGGUUGUGGGUUUGAUUCCCAC